UGAUAACCAGAAAGACUCCUGAUUGUGGGUGAAGAGAUCUGAGGUUUGGUCUCUGGUGCCAUCACUCAUGAGGGAACCUUGGGCUCAUCUCUCGUCAGCUUCAGGUUCCCUUUCCAAGAGAGUCAGGAAGAAAGUCCAACAGGAGCUUUGCCAGUUCUGACAUUCUCUCACGUGAAUACACACAGCUUGCGUGGCAGCAUUCUGGUCUCAUGUCUUAGUCACAAAGGUACUCCACUGUAUCAGAAUAUUUUCCUUGGCUGUGACCUCAGGCCAGGCCACAGGUCAGGACAGAAGAUAACACAGACCAAAUAAAACUCACCAGAAGGCUGCAUCUGACAGCACCUUUAUCUUAAGCUCAGAACUGACACAAGCCCAAGCAAGAACCUCAAUUCCACUCUGAUGUACACAACCCUGGCAUCGGGCCUAACCCUCAGAGGAUAAGGGGGACCAUAUUGCUAUGGAGAAGAAAACAAGAAGCUAUCUGUUUUUUCAAACAUAGAUGUGGAAUUAGGAAGUGAGAAAGAAAUGGAAUCUGGACUAAUCCAGUGGACUGGCAUGAUCUGCUGGGGCAGUUGUCUCGAACAUAUCAGUUCCAGCUGCUGAAACACUGGGACCAUAGAGCGGUGAUGGAAAUAAGAAGAUGAAGGUCAAUUAGGACCACGGUGGGGUUGGGGAAGACAAAGACUUUGGUUUCUGUCCUGUAGGCAGCUGAUGGGAUGCUCAUUGCAGGAAGGAUUCUGGAACUGAGUUUCAGAAUGAGCAUUCACAGGCUAUGUGAAAUCACACACUACAGGCUAGGAGUGGUCCAGGGGGCAAAAGCAACAGAUCAGGGAGAGGUCAGAAGCCUGAGCCAGGGUAGUGGCAAUGGGCUAGGAAAGAGAAGGACGUGGGCAGCAGAAUGGCUACAGUUUGGGAGUUAUCUGGACACCAGGGUAGCAUUCUGGUCAGUUUUAUAUCAACUUGGCACAAUCCAGAGUCAUUUAGAGUCAGACUCUAAACUGAGAAAUGCCUCCCUAAGGUUGGGCAAUAGGCAAGUGUGCGAUCUAUUUUUAAUUAAUGCUUGAUGUGGAUGGAAGUGGCAGUGGGGGGUUCGUCUGGGUAGUAUAAGCAAGCCAUGAGGAGCAAGUCAGUAAGCAGCAUUCUCCAUGGCCUCUGCUUCAGCCGCUGCCUCCAGGGACCUGCCUUGAGUUCCUGGCCUGCCCUCCCUUACUGAUGAAACACGACCUGAAAGUUAUAAGGGGGGUUGUCAGAAGUCCCCAGGACCACUGAGGAAUGGAGAGAGCUAACCAACAGGGACAAAGUUCCAGAAGCAUCUAUCGUGACUCAUCUAGAUGUGAUGCUCCAUGAUGGUGACAAAUACGACCAAGGUCCACAGGUCAGGCAAGUUCAAAGGUAAUUGGACGAGGAGUUUUAAGCACGCACGGCUGUUCCCGUGGCAAACUGCUUCAUGAAUACCCAUCGGGAUCUCUCCAUAUGGACAGCAGAAGAGAUCCUGCUGUUCUUUUGCUAAUAAAAACUGUUGUGAUUACAUUUU
rnacentral:lncRNA from 1 species